rnacentral:rRNA from 1 species
GAUGAACGCUGGCGGCGUGCCUAAUACAUGCAAGUCGAGCGAACAGACGAGGAGCUUGCUCCUCUGACGUUAGCGGCGGACGGGUGAGUAACACGUGGAUAACCUACCUAUAAGACUGGGAUAACUUCGGGAAACCGGAGCUAAUACCGGAUAACAUGUUGAACCGCAUGGUUCAACAGUGAAAGACGGUCUUGCUGUCACUUAUAGAUGGAUCCGCGCCGCAUUAGCUAGUUGGUAAGGUAACGGCUUACCAAGGCAACGAUGCGUAGCCGACCUGAGAGGGUGAUCUGCCACACUGGAACUGAGACACGGUCCAGACUCCUACGGGAGGCAGCAGUAGGGAAUCUUCCGCCCUGGGCGAAAGCCUCACGGAGCAACGCCGCGUGAGUGAAGAAGGUCUUCGGAUCUUAAAACUCUGUUAUUAGGGAAGAACAAAUGUGUAAGUAACUAUGCACGUCUUGACGGUACCUAAUCAGAAAGCCACGGCUAACUACGUG